CAGUCGCCGCGGGAAUACGGAGGGUGCAAGCGUUAAUCGGAAUUACUGGGCGUAAAGCGCACGCAGGCGGUCUGACAAGUCAGAUGUGAAAUCCCCGGGCUUAACCUGGGAACUGCAUUUGAAACUGUCAGGCUGGAGUCUUGUAGAGGGGGGUAGAAUUCCAGGUGUAGCGGUGAAAUGCGUAGAGAUCUGGAGGAAUACCGGUGGCGAAGGCGGCCCCCUGGACAAAGACUGACGCUCAGGUGCGAAAGCGUGGGGAGCAAACAGGAUUAGAUACCCGAGUAGUCCCUGUCUCUUAUAC
rnacentral:rRNA from 1 species